rnacentral:rRNA from 1 species
CUAACGCAUUAAGCACUCCGCCUGGGGAGUACGACCGCAAGGUUGAAACUCAAAGGAAUUGACGGGGGCCCGCACAAGCGGUGGAGCAUGUGGUUUAAUUCGAAGCAACGCGAAGAACCUUACCAGGUCUUGACAUCCUUUGACCACUCUGGAGACAGAGCUUUCCCUUCGGGGACAAAGUGACAGGUGGUGCAUGGUUGUCGUCAGCUCGUGUCGUGAGAUGUUGGGUUAAGUCCCGCAACGAGCGCAACCCUUGAUUUUAGUUGCCAGCAUUUAGUUGGGCACUCUAAAGUGACUGCCGGUGCAAGCCGGAGGAAGGUGGGGAUGACGUCAAAUCAUCAUGCCCCUUAUGACCUGGGCUACACACGUGCUACAAUGGAUAGUACAAAGGGUCGCGAAGCCGCGAGGUGGAGCUAAUCCCAUAAAACUAUUCUCAGUUCGGAUUGUAGGCUGCAACUCGCCUACAUGAAGCCGGAAUCGCUAGUAAUCGUGGAUCAGCAUGCCACGGUGAAUACGUUCCCGGGCCUUGUACACACCGCCCGUCACACCACGAGAGUUUGUAACA